CUAAUUAUCUCUAAGUAUGCAUAUGGAAUAGAUGAAAGAAUAUGUAGCGCAUCUUUUUUUAAAAAAAAAUUAUUGGGUGCCAUAUCCUAGAGGGACCCACCCCCUCUUAUGUGUCAUGACGUGGAGGAGGGAGAGUGGGGUUCAUGCCCCAUCUCUUUUGGCUAGAGAAGAUCCCUUUGUGGGGCGUAAAAAGUUGGCGCUCCAACCACCUGACAUGUAUUCCGUGGAUGCUUGUUGUA
rnacentral:lncRNA from 1 species